UGUGACAGCUAAGAGCGGAUAAAGAUGAAUGUCAUGUGUCAUCCAAUAUGAAAGUUUUGGAAGUUAGAAGACAGACUAAGAGCAAAGAAUAAAGUCUGGCAACUUCAGCAGUAAUUUCAGCCAAUUUGCAUUUAAUGGAAGAAGACCAUUGUCUGCUCAUGUAUAUAUCUAACUCAUAAUAGUUUAUAUUCUUUAAGGUUGAUUUGUCAAAUGUAUUUGAAAGAUGACUCUCCAAGGCCCUUGGAGUAUGGGAUCAAGACAGAUGUGAACCCUGCCCUUGUAGAGUCUUGAGUCUGUUGAGGAAGACCCACAUUAAAUUACAUCAAUAUCAGGAUGAUCUCUAUUGGGAGAAGAGAACUAAAUUGUUCAAGGGCAACGUAACAUAUCAGGAUUUCAGCUCAUCUAGGAAAGUUAUUGUUCAAGUCACACACAUCAUAAUGCGGAAUUCUUCAUUAGUACCACCAAAAGAUCAAGAUGAAUCAAACAUCCCUUCUGGAACAGCGCAGAGUGGAAAAAGCUUACAGAAUAAGAGUCAGUUUAGGACCAUUGCACCAAAAAUUGUGCCUAAAGUCUUAACAUCCAGAGUGCUACCCUGUCCUUCCUCACUUUCUGACCAACGGAGUCUGGCUCUCUCCUCCAAGCCUCUGGGCAUACCCACCCAGAACUAUGCUUUGAUGCAGGUGGCUGGCCAGGAGGGCACGUUUUCUCUUUUUGCUUUACCGAAUGUUGCCUCAACUCAGCCAAUUCAGAAGCCAAGAAUGUCCCUGCAUGAAAACCUUAAACUGCCUAUUCCUCGAUACCAACCACCAAGUAACAAAGGGUUAAGAAAGAAACAGGAUUUGAGCCCUCGCAAGAGUAGCUGGAAUGAACGUCCUGGCCCAGUCCAGACAUGCCAAAUAUCCCCUUCCCCACAAGCCCAUCCUGAACCGCCUCACAAGACCAGCCCAUUGAAACAAAUGCCCACUUUAAACUCUUCCUCCACCAUCAAGACAACUACACUGACCAAUAGUAUUGGCCAAGGAGAUUCAAAUCCUCUAGUAACCAGCAGCUGUGGAGACCUGAAGCUUCCUACCAUCCCAGCAUGUGCUACAGAGGAUUCCUCUUCCCCACAGAGCCUCCCAGCAAUCAUGCAGAAGGCAGACUGUACCAGGAAGGAGGUGCCCACUAAGCCUGCUGUUGCUGGUGAAGAGCUUAAAGACCGGGUGGCUCCUGCACACACUGUCUUUAGCAGUGUGGUUCAGUUGGUCUCAUUAGUACCAAAGGGUAAACUGCCCAUCCUGCCCUUUUCAAGAGUGAUAGCUACAGAGGUGGGCAAAGUGGAAUCAGAUGUUGAUAAUGCCAAACUGUCUUCAUCUGGAUGCAGGGCCAACUGUGAUGAGAGACUGCCCAUCACAGAAAGGUUUGAUGCAGCCACCACGAUGCCCAGCAAGGUAACUGCUCUGCAUGGGUCCAAGCAGAAUGCUUGUGAAAGUGCCUUCAGUCCUGUCACUAAAUUAGAUCUCAGCCACAAAGUAAAACCAAGCAGUGGGGCAGUAAAGAGAAAAGGAAGAAAAUGGAAAGUGCCAGAUGAGAUUUUAGCAUUGCAGGGCAAAAGGAGGAAAUACAUUAUUGGUAUGUGUGGAGAUGGUGUGGAAAGGGGAAGAAACAGUCCCCAAGAACCCAGAGACCAGAAGCCCAAGGCUACUUCGAGAAAGUAUCGUAGCAUCAUGCCCAAGCCUGUCAUCGUCAUGUCUGCUUUAGCACCCCUGGAAUCCCCUGCAGCUGCACUGCAGUCCCAGGCUCCCAGCAGCUUAGGUCAGGAUGCUCUGCUGAAUAAUGCACUGCCUCCGAAAUGCCUUGUCUCCAAGCAGAGUGACAGCCCUGCCCCAAAGUUCAGCUCUGGGCUCAGAAACGGAUUCUCUGGCAUUAAGAAGCCCUGGCACAUGUGUCCCAUCUGUAACCACCACUUCCAAUUCAAACACCACCUUCUGGACCACAUGAAUACACACACUAACAGACGGCCUUACAGUUGUGGGAUCUGUCGAAAGGCCUAUGUCCGUCCUGGCAGCUUGAGUGCGCAUAUGAAACUUCACCAUGGUGAGAAUCGUCCCAGGAAACUAGUGUGCUGUGAGUUUUGUGCAAAAGUGUUUGGUCAUGUUCGAGUCUAUUUUGGCCAUCUGAAGGAGGUACACAGGGUUGUGAUCAGCACAGAGCCCUCCUCCAGUGAACAGCAGCCAGGAGACACAUCAAGGAACAAGGACAGAGAUACCUAUGUGCAGAGACCGGAUGGCCCACUGGAGAGGGAAACCAAGUCAAGUUUGGAAGAAGAUUUCCUUCUAAACCAGGCAGGUAAAGUCAAGUUGCAAAUCAGAUGUGCCCGUUGUCAAAUCACUGCUCAGUCUUUUGCUGAAAUAAAGUUCCAUUUGCUUCAUGUUCACGGGGAAGAGAUCCAAGGCCGGCUUCAGGAGGUAAUCUUACCAGGCAGCAGAGUGGGGCUUCCCCACCAGAAGCAGCACCCUGAGAGAAGGAAGCAGGCAAAGCCCUGGGCCUCUGUGGAGGACUCCCUAGCAUGUCCUAAAGUGAAAAGGCAACCACCCUGUCAUCAGAACAGGGAGGAAGCACAGGCAGGAAGUGAAGGUGGCCAGUGGGGAAUGAGCAGCCCACAGCACCCCACCAAGCUUCUCUGGUCCCAUUCAGGCUUUAACUGCCUGCUCUGUGCCAAGAUGCUGGGGAGGAAGGAAGACCUGCUUCUCCACUGGGUACGCCAGCACAACUGUGAGGACCCCGCCAGACUCUGGGCUAUCCUGGGGGCCAUCUCUAACCAGGGAGCUCCUGAAUUCCUCAGUGAAGUAAGGCAGUGACACCGAGGCCACCCAGCUGAAGAGACCUCACACCACCUUUCUGUCACCCUGUUUCUGUUAGUAUUUUAAUUGUAAGGAUCCAGCACUCCAGGGCCAACACCAGUGUACAGAGGGCAGUGGCUGGAGUUGCUGACUAAAUUUAGAAGCAUGUCAUCAGGACACUGAUUCAUGCCAUGGAGGGAAUAGUAGAAGAGAGGAGCUGCUGAGCAUCUAUGAGAAAACUCUUUGGCCUGGGGACAUAGCUCACUGGUAGAAUGCAGGCUCCUGGGUUCAAGUCCCAUUGCCUUUGAAGAGUGAAGACUUGAAGGACCUGUGUGUAAGGACUCCUUCAGAUUCCACCCUGUAGAAGUACACCUGUGUAACAGUGCAAACUGUCCUGGUGCCAUCCAAAGUAAAGGGCUUCUAGCCCUUUAAAUCAGUGCUUCCAGAGAACAGGAGAAGAGGGCCCUUGUUAGAAGAGGGAGUCACUGAGCUAGUAAGCUUGGGAGAGCAGCCCUUGGAUCCUGGCACAGUUCCAGCUUGUUCUCCCACAGAGCACAUACAGGGGUCAGGGGAAGAAAGUACUCUGCCACUUAUUCCCAGUGACUUAGAGAGAAGUCUCUUUCUAGGGCUCCAGCCUCUCUCUAAAGUAUCAGUGACCAUCCCACCUUGAGAAGUGACUAGGAAGAGUUCUUGAAGCAUAAAGCAGCAGGUGGAUGGUAUUUAUUAUGCUUUGGGUUAGGUUUGAAGGAGGUUCAUCAUAGCAUAUAAAAAUCAUUAAAAAUGGCCCAGAUAGCCCUUGAAUGCAUAUUGCAAUGUCUGAAACUACAGAGGAAUGCACAUCUGUGUAUAAAAAAUGCAUUUGUGGAGGCUGGCAUUCCAGAUCUGCAUCUUUCUCCUGCAACUGCUCCUCUGCUCUCCCUCGGUGAAGCUGCUGUCGUAUGCACACAUCAUCCAGAAGCUGGGUUAAGACCACUAGCCUCUUGAGGACAGAGAUAACCCUUUGUCAUCCUGGAGCCCCAUCUAUACAGGGAGUAGCACACAGAUUAUUACUAGGUGAACAACAACAAAGAAUGUCAUCAGCUAAAUGCAAAAUUGCAAUUUUUUUUGUUGUUGUUAAUAAAACACCAAGCACAUAGCUAGGAUGGCAUCAAGGUAAAUUGUGUCUUCAACUCAGCACUUUCAUUUUGCUUAAUGUCUUUGCUUCUCAGAAAAUUGUCCCAAAGCCAGAUUUUUCCCGCUUCUUCUUUUGGCCCUAAAUUAUCUCUGAAAGUUACAGCAUUUUUGAUUUGUACUGUUUUAUUGCUUG